AACUGGGAACCAACCAAUGACAGCAGCACUUGCCGGGAUCUCAGCCCGCGCAGAACAGGGGGAGGAAUCGCGCGGGGCCUGAAGGGAGGGGUUCGGGCGCGGGAGCUGGGGAGGAGAAGACGGAAGUGGAACGAGGACAAAAUGGCUGCGAAGCCAGAAAAAUUUAUAGAAACAUAGAUACAUUAAGCUUUAAAACAAUCAACUCUCAAACAAAAGAGGAAAGAGCCUUUGAUCCCGGAGUCCACAUGGAAUGAAUUUUAUACGUGUCUGAAAGUCACAUAAGGAGCACUUAAAAACCACCCGAAAUGGAAAUCCGACAGCCCCCCUGCCUGUGAGGGCUCCCAUGCCUGCCAGCGUGAGGACACGGCUGACCCCCACUGGACACUCACAUGCCGGGAGCCACCAUAGCUCAGGGUGACUGGCAGCGCCCAGCUCAGUGACCGAGACAGAUGUCUGUUCACACCUGGCGGGGUGUGGGGGAUCCAGCUCCAAAUCUGAUGACGUGAAGGGAACUUGGGAGGGGUCUGAGCAACGUCCAAAGGGAUUUUGGCAACACAGAAGAUGCAAUGUCUACGAAUUCCGCCAGAUGCUUCCAAAAACACUGACAAUUCAAGGUGCACUUGCCCCAAGGGUGGGUGGCCUUCAGUCCGCGUGGGGUGUCCGCGUGGCCUCCUCAUAGGACUCCCCGAACUCAUUGACUCUGCGUUUGUCCAUAGGAUAAGGCCACCGCUGGUACAGGUAGACCAGAAACAUCAUGUUGUCCCGGAAGCAGGCCAGCCGGUAAGACGUGGGCAUGGUGAUGAUGAAGGCAAACAUGUCAUCACUGAAGGUGUUGAAAGCUUUGUAGGUUAAGGCCUUCCAUGGCAGAUGUGCCACCGACUUCAACUUGUAGUUCACAAAGAGCUGGGGCAGCAUGGAGAGGAAACCAAAGGCAUAGACCCCUGCAGAAAGACAGCCCGCACUCACAGGCGUGGAGGGCCGGGCGUUGACAAAACUGUUGAUUAACUAGGAGUACCAGCUUAUACUUGAUGUUCAGGAGUGAAUACACAGCACCCCCGAUGCAGAGAGGGUACAGCAGGUAGGACAAGUAUUUCAUGGCCUGAGUAUCGUACUCCUUGGUCUUCCUCUCAGACUCACUGUAAGUGGCAAACUGAAACUCGGGCCUCAGGCCUCUUCAAACAACAGUCAUCUUCAAUGCCCUUUUCACUUUACACAGCUCGAUGGUGGCUCUGUUGCCGGCCGGCACCAGCACCAGCUGGCUCGUCUGCUCAUCCAGCAGGAACAGGAAAAUGACCACGGUGCUGAAGCAGCGUCAGAGCACUGCGUUGGUGGACAUGCCAAUCAUGCUCUUCUUUUUCUUCCAGAAAUUGAUGUCAUUUUUAAAGGCCAGGAAAUCAAAGAGAAGAUGCAAUGCUGCGACAAAGAAGGUCAGCGCCAGGAAGUACAAAUUGGUAUCUACAAUAAUUUAUUUCACUUCACCGGCAUCUUUCUCUGAAAACCCGAACUGCUGCAGGCAGUAUAUGGAGUCCUGCAUGUGGAUCCAGAAGUGCAGUCGCCCCAGCGAGACCUUAUCGUAGGACACCGUGAGAGGCAGCUCGGUGGUGGAGCGGUUUAUGACCAUCAGGUCCUUGACGUGGUUGCAGAGCUGGUUGAUAAAUAGGAUGGGGAGGUAAUGCACGGUCUUCCCGAGCUGGAUCAUCUUCAUGUACCGAUGCACGUCAGCAGGCAGGGAGGACCCGUCGAAGACGAAGUUGUCUGCCAUCAGCUUCAGUGCUAGCCGUGGUCUCCAGUGGGACACCAGUUCAUCCAGGGUACUCGCUGGCUUCUUUUUAUUUUAUUUUAUUUAUUAUUAUUAUUAUUUUGUACCACUCCUAGUGGAAUAAAGUGAUUCUUUUUUUUUUUUUUUUUCCAGAGGAAUGUAUUGAGUAGAGGUGAGGAACUAGGAGGUUGAAAAGUAAAAAAAGGAGAGAAGGAGAGGAAGAAAAAGAGGGAGAGAGAACAGGAAUAUUGCUUCAUUCUAAAUAUGGGUAUUAAUAAUGGCCGAUCAAUAUUUUGUGUAUUUAAAAUGGAGAACUCUAUAAAUAUUUUAUUCAGUUUACUUGUUCUGGAUCUGAGUUGAAGUCCUGGAUAUCCUUAUUAAUUUUCUGUCUCGUUGAGUCUAAAUCUCAUUAUGGGUCUUAAGUAUCUGGGUGUUAAGAUCUGUUAUUGUUGCAUUGAUCCUUUUACCACUGUAUCUUUGUUGCUUUGGAAAUCUAUUUUAUCAAAUGUAAGAAUUGCAACUCUUGCUUUUUGUUUGUUUAUUUUUGCUCUCCAUUUGGUUGGUAAAAUUUUCUCCAACCCUUUGAGUCUUUGUGUAUCUUUGGAUAUACUGUUAGGUUUUGGCUGUAUCUUUUGAUUGGGGGAUUUAGUCGAUUUAAAUUUAGGGUUACUGCCAUUUGAUGUUAACUGGCUAUUUUAUCCAUUUGUUGAUGUAAAUUCUUCUUUAUGUUGAUGCUCUUUACUUUUUGGUAUAUUUUUAGAAAGGCUCAUACUGGUUGUUCCUUUCUAUAUAUAAUGCUUCUUUCAGAAGUUCUUGUAAAGCAGGCCUGGUGGUAAUAAAAUCUCUGAGUACUUGCUUGUUCAUAAAAGAUUUUAUUUUUCCUUCAAUUGUGAAGCUUAGUUUGGCAGGAUAUGAGAUUCUAGGCUGAAAGUUCUGUUCUUUAAGUAUGUUGAAUAUUGGCCCCCACUCUCUUCUGGCUUGGAGGGUUUCUGCUGAGAGAUCUGCUAUAAGUCUAAUAGGCUUCCCUUUAUGGGUAACCUGGCCUUUCUCUCUAGCUGCCCUUAGUAUUUUCUCCUUCGUUUUGAUCCUGGUGAAUCUAACGAUUAUGUGCCUUGGGGUGGCUCUUCUUGAGGAAUAUCUUUGUGGUGUUCUUUCUCUGUAUUACCUGGGGUUGAAUAGUGUCCUGCUUUGCUAGAUUGGGAAAAUUUUCCUGGAUAAUAUCCUGAAAAGUAUUUUCCAGCUUGGAUUCAUUCUCUCCAUCACAUUCAGGUACACCAAUCAAACGUAGAUUGGGUCUUUUCACAUAGUCCCAUAUUUCUUGGAGACUUUGCUCAUUCCUUUUCAUUCUUUUUUCUCUAUUCUUGUCUUGUCGUUUUAUUUCAUUAAGUAGGUCUUCAACCUCUGAUAUCCUUUCUUCUGCUUGAUCCAUUCUGCUAUUUAAACUUGUGCAUAUUUCACUAAGUUUUCAUGUUGUAUUUUUCAACUCCAUUAGUUCAUUUAUAUUCCUCUCUAUAUUUUCUAUUCUUUUCAGCAUUUUGUCAAACCUUUUUUCAAAGUUCUUAGUUUCUUUACAUUGGGUUAAAACAAGUUCUUUUAAUUCCAGGAAGUUUCUUAUCCACCUUCUGAAGCCUACUUCAGAUAAUGGAACACAGUCCUUUUCCAUCAGGGCUUGUUCCAUUGCUGAUGAGGAACUGCAAUCCCCUGUAGAGGGAGAGGGGUUCUGAUCUUGGGUAUGCCCGGCCUUCUUAGGCUGGUUUUUUCCCUUUAUUAUAAAUUUAUCCAUCUGUCAUCUUUACAAUUACUGCCUUUCUAAUUAGGUUUCUGAGUCGAUGUCCAAUUUAUUGAUUCCCAGUGCUGGGAUUCAAGCAACCCACUGCGCUGGCCAAAAUAGCAGCGAUAAGACUGAUGGUGCUCUUCUGCCCAGGAAUCUCCAGUCUGGCUUCCUUCUUGAGUCUGCAACAAGCGGCUCUGCCUUCCUGGAGCUCUAAACACCAGUCAGUAAGGGAACCAGUCCUGCUUACUCUGCAUGAAGAGCUGCCGCACCAAGGAGCUGGCAAAACCGCUGCGCCGGCCACAAGAGUCACGCUGGCGACCUGUGGGGCUCCUCCACUAGAAAUCUGCUGGUCCGUGAGCGACGAAAAUUCGUCUGAAAGUGUGGCGUCCUCUCGUUCUCUGAGCUUUCACUGGGAGCUACAAUCCUGAGCUGUUAGUGAUCAGCCAUCUUGGAUCAGGCUCGCUGGCUUCUUCUCCACCUUGAUCUGCUGUGCAUCAGAUUCCCCAGUGAGCAGGUUGAUUUCUUUCAGCUUGGGGACCAUGUAGGUGGUCAGAGGAAUGACGAGGUGCACCUGCUUCCCAUCGUGCCAUGGCAGGAUCCCAGCGUGAUGGAGGAAGAUGUAGGCAUACAGCGUCCCGUUAUUUCUUGUUUUCUUUGGUACAGAAACAUUAACUGUCCUCUCAAAUUUGGACUCCACAUCGAAGUCUUCCACAUUCAAGACCAGGUCGAUGUUGUUCUCGGCACCCAGGUGGGACCGCGUUGUGGUGUACAUGCUCAGCUGCAGCUUGUGCCGCCGCGCCAGGUAGGACUGGAUGCAGUUGGCGUUGCCGGAGCACGGGCGGGUGUAGACGAUGCCGUACAAGACCCAGCAGGCGUGCACCACGGAGACCACGAACACGCCCACCACCAGCUUGGUGAAGGAGCUGUGGCCGCUCCACAUGGCCGCCCCGGGCCUACCGGCCUCUUGGCUUCCAGCCCCGGCCAGCCGCCCCCCCGUGCCCAGCCUGCUGCUCCUGCCGCUGCCGCUCACAGGACAGCCGCUGUGUGCCGCUAACUGCCGGCCGCCCAGCAUACUCCGGCCCCGCUCCGACCUGGCGCCUCGGGAUUCACCGGCCUUGUUUGUAUAUGCCUUACUUUAAAGUAUUUACCCCUCAGAAAUCUAUAGAUAAAGCUAAUUGUGCUACCAACUUAGUCAAAAUGUAAAAGCAUCUGUUUCCCCAUAACCUUUCUAAAAUGGUUUCUACAGUUUUUAUGUUUGCUAUACUGAUAGCUUAAAAUAAAAAGGGUGUUUUUAUUUCCUCAACCUAAAGGGGAAUAAAGGAUUUUGGGGCAUCUCUUUA